CGACCGGCGCACGGGUGCGUAACGCGUAUGCAACCUACCUGUAACAGGGGGAUAACACUGAGAAAUCGGUACUAAUACCGCAUAACACUAUGAGGAGGCAUCUCUUGUGGUUGAAAGUUUCGGCGGUUACAGAUGGGCAUGCGUUGUAUUAGCUGGUUGGUGAGGUAACGGCUCACCAAGGCGACGAUACAGUAGGGGGACUGAGAGGUCAACCCCCACAUUGGUACUGAGACACGGACCAAACUCCUACGGAAGGCAGCAG
rnacentral:rRNA from 1 species